rnacentral:rRNA from 1 species
AAGGGCGUGUAGGCGGCCUGGCAAGUUGGAUGUGAAAUACCGUUGCUUAACGACGGAACGUCAUCCAAAACUGUCAGGCUUGAGUGUCAGAGGGGAAAGUGGAAUUCCUAGUGGAGCGGUAAAAUGCGUAGAGAUUAGGAGGAACACCGGUGGCGAAGGCGACUUUCUGGCUGACAACUGACGCUGAGGCGCGAAAGCGUGGGGAGCAAACAGGAUUAGAUACCCUGGUAGUCCACGCCGUAAAC